GGGGGAUUAGCUCAAAUGGUAGAGGGCGCGCUUUGCAUGCACGAGUUUAGCAGGAUCGAUGCCCGCAUCCUCCA
rnacentral:tRNA from 1 species